UAAUAUUUCAACACUAUGCAGCUUAGGCAAGUCGCUCUGCUUUCUUGCGAACUCCCCUUUUUUAUUUCUUUUGUGCUAAUCUUGACAUUAGCCACCUCCCAAAUUAUCCCCACUAACACCCCUUCUCCUCCACCCCCUACCUAACACCACUUCUCCUCCACCCACUACCACUCCUCCUCCUCCUCUUCCUCCGUCCACAAACACCACUUCUCCGCCAACCAAUGCAACCGCGCCUACCAGGACAAUCACAAAAGCUGCUACCAUUACAAAACCAGGAUGUCCAAAACAG
rnacentral:lncRNA from 1 species